AUGCCUGCAAUGGCUAGGGCUGCCAAAGCUGGCAGCGGGGAACUCAGUCCUGGUCUUCCAUACGGGUGCCAGGAACUCAGCUGUUUGAGCCUCCCAGGGUCUGCACUGGCAGGAAGCUGGAGCCAGGAGCUGGAGCUGGGAUUCGAACUUAGGCACUUCGAGCUGGAUCAUGGGCAUCUCAACCACCAGACUACAAGUCUGCUCCCACGGUCCGUACUUGCAAGGACUGCAUUUCUGGAGAGGGUGGGUUUUGAUGAGCACACGGGAUGGACAGAAAGAGGACGUGAGAAGACAAGAGAGCUUGCUCCUCAGAUGAUCCACUUGCAGACUUACAGAUGUUCCCUCUGCCGCGUGGAUUAUGACAGGGAGCCAUGCCAAGAUUUUCAGAAGGAACCAUCAGACGCAGCGAAUCUUUCUCAGACCACUGCUCUUUCUCGCAAAUGAAACAAAAUCCCUCUCUUAAAAGUUGCUUCCCUGACCGUUGCUUCAUGAUUUGAUAUUCUCUGGUUGGCUGUAAGACCCCCACAAGUUCUUCCAGCUAUGAAAAUGGACAGUUUCUCUUCCAAGACUGGAUUUCUAUAAAUGUUACAGCAACCUCACAUGGUGCUGACUGAACCGUAUCCAUGGACAAAGAUCAAUUAAAAAAAAGUGGAAAACAUCCAGUAUGGUUCUCAUCCUUCAACCAUCCACUCUCCCACAGUUUCCACCUGUUUCAGGUAUGUGCACAAAGGAUCUUCAAAAACUCAUGGAAAACAUGUAUUACACAAAUGCAAAACACGGAUUUCAGAAUGUCUCCAAAAUACGCUCAUCUUUUAAUUCCAUUUCUACCACACAUUUUUUGAAAUCCCCUUGUACAAUACCCCCGAUUAUUUGUAUGUCAACCUUUCCCAGAACUUAUGGCUAUCACCAACAAGGAGCUUUUUCCUGCAGGAUCCACUCUGUCAUGACUGGAGAUAGAGAUCUUCAUCUCUUGGAUGGCAAAGAUAACCCACAGAGGAAAAUAGCGGAUCCCAAAACCUAAGUAGGCAGUUGAGCCAGUCAGGAAAGUGGGGGAGAAAAAUACAGUGUUUCAACGAAUGCCUCCGUGUCUUCUACAUCAACAAAUACAGGAUUUUCUGAACUUCUACUUUUGACAAGUUCCAUGUUGUCCGUCUUGGGUGCACAAUGAGACUUUUCCACCUUGUAAAUGUUUCCUCCGGUGAGGAAUUUAGCAUCUCUAAGGUAGUUUUUUCUUCUUUGUAACAGGGUUGCUCAUGCCCCUGUGACAAGGAGACUGAGACAAUGGACACUCUACAAAAGUCCUUUUCUCCUUAGGAGCUCAUUACAACAUGAAUAAUUCUAGGGCGAGGCAUGCUUUGCUCAUCUUUGAAUCCUUGUACCAAGAUCAUUUGGUUACAACAUAAGCGUUUGAAUAAACACAUAGAAUUGCUUAUAAAUGUAAAGAAU
rnacentral:lncRNA from 1 species